rnacentral:rRNA from 1 species
CUCCAGACUCCUACGGGAGGCAGCAGUGAGGAAUAUUGGUCAAUGGCCGAGAGGCUGAACCAGCCAAGUCGCGUGAGGGAAGACGGCCCUACGGGUUGUAAACCUCUUUUGUCGGGGAGCAAAGCGAACCACGUGUGGUUCAUUGAGAGUACCCGAAGAAAAAGCAUCGGCUAACUCCGUGCCAGCAGCCGCGGUAAUACGGAGGAUGCGAGCGUUAUCCGGAUUUAUUGGGUUUAAAGGGUGCGCAGGCGGAGGCACAAGGCAGCGGUAAAACCGGGGGGCUCAACCCCGCUCCGCCGUUGAAACUGUGUCCCUUGAGUGCGCGAAGGGUAGGCGGAAUGCGUGGUGUAGCGGUGAAAUGCAUAGAUAUCACGCAGAACUCCGAUUGCGAAGGCAGCAUACCGGCGCUCAACUGACGCUCAUGCACGAAAGUGUGGGUAUCGAACAGGAUUAGAUACCCGAGUA